GACGAACGCUGGCGGCGUGCUUAACACAUGCAAGUCGAACGAUGAUGCCCAGCUUGCUGGGUGGAUUAGUGGCGAACGGGUGAGUAACACGUGAGUAACCUGCCCCUGACUCUGGGAUAAGCGUUGGAAACGACGUCUAAUACUGGAUAUGAUCACUGGCCGCAUGGUCUGGUGGUGGAAAGAUUUUUUGGUUGGGGAUGGACUCGCGGCCUAUCAGCUUGUUGGUGAGGUAAUGGCUCACCAAGGCGACGACGGGUAGCCGGCCUGAGAGGGUGACCGGCCACACUGGGACGGGGACACGGCCCAGACUCCUACGGGGGGCAGCAGUGGGGAAGAGUGCACAAUGGGCGAAAGCCUGAUGCAGCAACGCCGCGUGAGGGAUGACGGCCUUCGGGUUGUAAACCUCUUUUAGUAGGGAAGAAGCGAAAGUGACGGUACCUGCAGAAAAAGCACCGGCUAACUACGUGCCAGCCGCCGCGGUAA
rnacentral:rRNA from 1 species